rnacentral:sRNA from 1 species
CGGAAAGGAAGGCUCCGGGUCCACCCUGGCAACCCGGGUGUUUGGCUGGGUUCUAGCGUGGCCGUCUGUGUGGCCGGUGGGGGACCUGCGGUCGGAGUGGGAGGGCCAGUCUGCACCCAAGAGGUGGAAGAGGACGGGCUUUAGGCUGGAAGCGCCUUAGAGGAGCCAUUUUUCCAGGAUGCCUGGUUUGCUUUUAUGUGAACCGACAGAGCUUUACAACAUCCUGAAUCAGGCCACAAAACUCUCCAGAUUAACAGACCCCAACUAUCUCUGUUUAUUGGAUGUCCGUUCCAAAUGGGAGUAUGAUGAAAGCCAUGUGAUCACUGCCCUUGGAGUGAAGAAGGAACUGGAUGCAUUUCAGCCAUACCCCAUUGAAAUCGUGCCAGGGAAGGUCUUCAUCGGCAAUUUCAGUCAAGCCUGUGACCCCAAGAUUCAGAAGGACUUGAAAAUCAAAGCCCAUGUCAAUGUCUCCAUGGAUACAGGGCCCUUUUUUGCAGGCGAUGCUGACAAGCUUCUGCACAUCCGGAUAAAAGAUUCCCCGGAAGCCCAGAUUCUUCCCUUCUUACGCCACAUGUGUCACUUCAUUGGUAAGGAGCGUUCCUUGGC